GCAGUGCAGUACAAUGGUUAAAGAGCUGGCCUUCCAAGUCAGAGGUGGGGGUUCAAUUCCCAGGUAAUGCG